UACAGAGGUCUCAAGCGUUGUUCGGAUUCAUUGGGCGUAAAGGGUGUGUAGGUGGCGCCGUAAGUCGGGUGUGAAAUUUCGGAGCUUAACUCCGAAACUGCAUUCGAUACUGCGGUGCUUGAGGACUGGAGAGAGACUGGAAUUCAUGGUGUAGCAGUGAAAUGCGUAGAGAUCAUGAGGAAGACCAGUGGCGAAGGCGGGUCUCUGGACAGUUCCUGACACUGAGACACGAAGGCCAGGGGAGCAAACGGG
rnacentral:rRNA from 1 species